CCCAGGAGGAACCGGAGGAACAAGUCCAGGUGUCCAUUUGGACUCUGUUGACACCAAAGGUGAUGAAGGUCCGAUGAACAUGAAGAGCAGCCAGAAACUCCUGAAGACUCAGAUGGACGAAGCAGAACACCUUGUCCUGAUGUACUGAAGGUUCCUCAUCAGUGAUGCAGAAAA